rnacentral:tRNA from 1 species
GCGGAGGGGUGGCCGAGCGGCUUAAGGCAGCGGUCUUGAAAACCGCCGAUGGGAAACCAUCCGAGAGUUCGAAUCUCUCCUCCUCCGCC